UACCAAAUUCCUAAAUUGAGCUGGGCC
rnacentral:piRNA from 1 species